UACGUAGGGGGCAAGCGUUGUCCGGAUUUAUUGGGCGUAAAGAGCGUGUAGGCGGUCAGGUAGGUCCGUUGUGAAAGUCAAAGGCUCAACCUUUGAAUGCCGAUGGAUACUGUCGAGCUAGAGUCCGAGAGAGGUGAGUGGAACUGCGAGUGUAGAGGUGAAAUUCGUAGAUAUUCGCAAGAACACCAGUGGCGAAGGCGGCUCACUGGCCCGGUACUGACGCUGAGGCGCGAAAGCGUGGGGAGCAAACAGG
rnacentral:rRNA from 1 species